rnacentral:misc_RNA from 1 species
UACAAGCGAAUAGACCAUUUAUCGGUGG